AUCUGUGUUACCUCUUUAGGCAUUCCUUCGAACAUGAAGCAAGAACAGACAACUAUGACAGCCCUUCUACGAGUGAUUAGCCUUAUCGUGAUUAGCGUGGUGGUGAUUAUUAUCCCACCGUGCGGGGCUGCACUUGGACGAGGAAAGGCUUAAAAAUCAAGCCUUAACGAACUAAGACCCCCGCACCGAAAGGUCCGGGGGUUUUUUUAUCACCAAAAAACGCAAAUCAGGAACAGAAAUGAAUAUCAGCAUAAAAUUCUGUUUCUCA
rnacentral:sRNA from 1 species